rnacentral:misc_RNA from 1 species
GAAAUGCGAAACGUAAUGUGAAUUGCAUCCUUGUGUAUCAUCGAAUCUUUGAACGCAGUGUGCGCCCGGCCUCAUGUGCCGGGCACGCUUGUCUGAGCAAGGGUUUCUUUUUUUUAUUGGUGGUCCAGCAAUUUUUGCUCGUCCACUCAAAACGACUGCAGCUUGCGCACUAGGAAACUUUGUUUCUAUCGUCGCAAACAAGAAAAGCAGGAAAACCCAACUUUAAUCUCCUUCUCAGAUCAAGCGAGACCACCCGCUGAACUUAA